AUUGAACGCUGGCGGCAGGCCUAACCCAUGCAAGUCGAGCGGAUGAAGGGAGCUUGCUCCUGGAUUCAGCGGCGGACGGGUGAGUAAUGCCUAGGAAUCUGCCUGGUAGUGGGGGAUAACGUCCGGAAACGGGCGCUAAUACCGCAUACGUCCUGAGGGAGAAAGUGGGGGAUCUUCGGACCUCACGCUAUCAGAUGAGCCUAGGUCGGAUUAGCUAGUUGGUGGGGUAAAGGCCUACCAAGGCGACGAUCCGUAACUGGUCUGAGAGGAUGAUCAGUCACACUGGAACUGAGACACGGUCCAGACUCCUACGGGAGGCAGCAGUGGGGAAUAUUGGACAAUGGGCGAAAGCCUGAUCCAGCCAUGCCACGUGUGUGAAGAAGGUCUUCGGAUUGUAAAGCACUUUAAGUGGGGAGGAAGGGCAGUAAGUUAAUACCUUGCUGUUUUGACGUUACCAACAGAAUAAGCACCGGCUAACUUCGUG
rnacentral:rRNA from 1 species